GGACAGGUGGCCGAGUGGUUAUGGCGCUACGUUUAGGCAAAUGUAGAGCUUUCCUCCUUUGAAUACCGUAGUUCGAAAGAGCGUGGGUUCGAAUCCCACCCUGUUCA
rnacentral:tRNA from 1 species